rnacentral:rRNA from 1 species
UACGUAGGUGACAAGCGUUGUCCGGAUUUACUGGGCGUAAAGAGCGCGCAGGCGGUCGAUCAAGUCGAGUGUGAAAGCCCCCCGGCUCAACUGGGGAGGGUCAUUCGAUACUGAUCGACUCGAAGGCAGGAGAGGGUAGUGGAAUUCCCGGUGUAGUGGUGAAAUGCGUAGAUAUCGGGAGGAACACCAGUGGCGAAGGCGACUACCUGGCCUGUUCUUGACGCUGAGGCGCGAAAGCUAGGGGAGCAAACGG